AUUGAGCGCUGGCGGCAUGCCUUACACAUGCAAGUCGAACGGCAGCGGACCUUCGGGUGCCGGCGAGUGGCGAACGGGUGAGUAAUGCAUCGGCACGUACCUUUCAGUGGGGGCUAACGUAGCGAAAGUUACGCUAAUACCGCAUAUUCUGUGACCAGGAAAGCAGGGGAUCGCAAGACCUUGCGCUGAUUGAGCGGCCGAUGUCAGAUUAGAUAGUUGGUGAGGUAAAGGCUAACCAAGGCGACGAUCUGUAGCGGGGCUGAGAGUAUGAUCCGCCAGACUGGGACUGAGACACGGCCCAGACUCCUACGGGAGGCAGCAGGGGGGAAUUUUGGACAAUGGGGGCAACCCUGAUCCAGCCAUGCCGCGUGAGUUAAGAAGGCCUUCAGGUUGUAAAGCUCUUUCGGCCGGGAAGAAAGCGCACAGGCUAAUACCUUGUGUGGAUGACGGUACCGGAAUAAGAAGCACCGGCUAACUACGUGCCAGCAGCCGCCGUAAAAC
rnacentral:rRNA from 1 species